AUAAUUGGUAUUGCACUUCUAAUUGUGUGUACUGGCCUGAAUAUGUUUCCUGCUAUACUAAUUUGGGAGAAAUGGGCAGUUGAGUCUUCUAAUGGUACAUGGUUUUCUCAACAAUCAUUUUUCUCAUAUGU